CGCGGCCUAUCAGCUUGUUGGUGGGGUAAUGGCCUACCAAGGCGACGACGGGUAGCCGGCCUGAGGGGGUGACCGGCCACACUGGGACUGAGACACGGCCCAGACUCCUACGGGAGGCAGCAGUGGGGAAUAUUGCACAAUGGGCGAAAGCCUGAUGCAGCGACGCCGCGUGAGGGAUGACGGCCUUCGGGUUGUAAACCUCUUUCAGUAGGGAACAAGGCCAUACGUUGUGUGGUUGAGGGUACUUGCAGAAGAAGCGCCGGCUAACUACGUGCCAGCAGCCGCGGUAAUACGUAGGGCGCAAGCGUUAUCCGGAAUUAUUGGGCGUAAAGAGCUCGUAGGCGGUUUGUCGCGUCUGCCGUGAAAGUCCGGGGCUCAACCCCGGAUCUGCGGUGGGUACGGGCAGACUGGAGUGAUGUAGGGGAGACUGGAAUUCCUGGUGUAGCGGUGAAAUGCGCAGAUAUCAGGAGGAACACCGAUGGCGAAGGCAGGUCUCUGGGCAUUAACUGACGCUGAGGAGCGAAAGCAUGGGGAGCGAACAGGAUUAGAUACCCUGGUAGUCCAUGCCGUAAACGUUGGGCACUAGGUGUGGGGGACAUUCCACGUUUUCCGCGCCGUAGCUAACGCAUUAAGUGCC
rnacentral:rRNA from 1 species